rnacentral:rRNA from 1 species
UAGGGAAUCUUCCACAAUGGACGAAAGUCUGAUGGAGCAACGCCGCGUGAGUGAAGAAGGGUUUCGGCUCGUAAAACUCUGUUGUUAAGGAAGAACAUAUCUGAGAGUAACUGUUCAGGUAUUGACGGUAUUUAACCAGAAAGCCACGGCUAACUACGUACCAG